rnacentral:rRNA from 1 species
AAUACAUGCAAGUCGAACGAACCGCGACUAAGUGCUUGCACUAAGUCAAGUUGAGUGGCGAACGGGUGAGUAACACGUGGGUAACCUACCUCAUAGUGGGGGGUAAAAGUCGGAAACGACUGCUAAUACCGCAUAGGACAUAGGAUCACAUGAUCCAGUGAGGAAAGGUGGCGCAAGCUAUCGCUAAGAGAUGGACCCGCGGUGCAUUAGCUAGUUGGUAGGGUAAAGGCCUACCAAGGCGAUGAUGCAUAGCCGACCUGAGAGGGUGAUCGGCAACAUUGGGACUUAGGCACGGCCCAAACUCCUACGG